UUGGGGGUCCGGGCCCCUCUGGUGGUCGCUUUCAACCAGCGCCGCGAUGUCGGACCCCUCCA
rfam:Skermanella aerolata KACC 11604 strain 5416T-32 contig18, whole genome shotgun sequence.